rnacentral:rRNA from 1 species
ACUCAGCCAAUCGUGAAAAGUGCGGCUUGGGUUUCCUAGGAUACCCUGUGCAGGGGGUGACUACACUCCUCCCUCACAUUCAGCCCACCUAGACACCCAGGCGCCUUGAGGAGGGCUUCUUGGCAGAAGCUCGCCAAAAGACAGUGAACAAAGAAGGCAAACCUGGUUUGCCGCGCAAAGUAAAACACAAGGAGGAGUUUAACAAAAAGAAAUGGCGAAUAAACCGCACCGGAACCAAAAGAAAAAGCAUUUGGUCAAGCGGGUUUAAGUUUGAUGCUAAUACAAUAGCUACAAUAUUACCACGGUUAUAGAAGAUAACCGCGGUAGAAAAUUAGGGUAGAUACCACUGCCAUCAGCCAUGUCGAAAUGUUAAAAGAGAAAAAACAAUGCUCUAGGAGGUACAGAUUAAAAAGGGGCUAAGAAUUAACCCUUCCAGUACUCCAUGUAAGUUGGGGUGUACUGGAUCUGUGGUUAAUUUGGUUAAUGGCAACUUUACCCUUUUCUGGGGACAGUAGUCAGCCUCAGAAAUGGAGUCGGUGGGCAGUCUGAAUGACAACCCUGGGUACUGAAGUGGUGUACCCGAGAGUCCACAACUUACAAAAACAGGUAAAAACACAUAGCAAAACACAAGUAAGAGUUGGGGAAAAGCUCACACUCUUACCAAGUGGAAGGAAUAACUCCAAAGAUCCAGCAAAGCUGCUGAGGGACUCCCUAGGUAAGGAAAUUAGCCAUGAAAUAAGAAUUCUCCCUAACGCCCUCCACCGACCCGUCUCGCCCACUCUGUCAGAGAGAUGAUGAUGAGCGUGUGUGAUAGGACCCGAAAGAUGGUGAACUCGGCCAGGUGGAGGUCCGUAGCGGUCCUGAUGUGUAAAUUGGUCAUCCGACCUGGGUAUUGGGGCAAAAGCCUAAUCGAACAAUAUAGUAGCUGGUUCUCUCCGAAGUUUCCCUCAGGAUAGCUGGCGCAUGGAAACCCCAGUUUUAUCUAGCAAAGCGAAUGAUUAGAGGUCUUGGGGCCAAAAUUCUCUCAACCUUUAAAUGAGUAUGAAGCCCGGCUCGCUGGCGUGGAGCUUGGUAUUGUAUGAAAGUUCUCAGUGGGCAACGUUUUUGUUGAGCAGAACUGGCGCUGCGGAUGAACCGCACCCCGGGUUAAGGCGCGUGUUGCAAAUGCUCAUCAGACACCAGAAACGGUGUUGGUUGAUAUAGACAGCAGGAUGGUGGCCAUGGAAGACGGAAUCCACUAAGGAGUGUGUAACAACUCACCUGCCGAAUCAACUAGCCCUGAAAAUGGAUGGCGUUGCAGCAUCAGGCCCAUAACCGGCCGCCUCUGAGAGCCGCGGGGGCUAAGGCGAGUAGGAGGGCAGCUGUGGUACGCACGGAAGCCCGGGGCGAGGGCCCAGGUGGAGCCGCCGCAGGUGCAGAUCUUGGUUGUAGUAGCAAAUAUUCAAACGAGAACUCUGAAGGAUGAAGUGGAGAAGGGUUCCAUGUGAACAGAAGUUGAAUAUGGGUCAGUCGGUCUAAGAGAUGGGCGAGUGCCGUUCGGAAGGGAUGGGCUAUGGCCUCCGUUGCCCUCAGCCGAUCGACAGGGAGUCGGGUUCAGAUCCCCGAACCCCGAGUGGCAGAGACGGGCGCUCUUCGGGAUCCAGUGCGGUAACGCAAAUGAUCCCAGAGAAGCCGGCGGGAGCCGCACAGAGAGUUCUCUUCUUUGUGAAGGGCAGGGCACCCUGGAAUGGGUUUGCCCCGAGAAAGGGGACUGAGCCUUGGAAGGCGUUGCGGUUCCGGCAGUGUCCGGUGAGCUCUCCCUGGUCCUUGAAAAUCUUGGUGAGAUGUUGUAAAUCUCGCGCCAGGCCGUACCCAUAUCCGCAGCAUGUCUCCAAGCCGGACAACCUCUGGCAUGUCAGAACAAUGUAGGUACGGGAAGUCGGAAAGUUAGAUCAGUAACUUCGGGAUAUUGAUUGGCUCCAAGGGCUGGGGUGCGAAGCAGUGCUGGGUGCGCAUCAUGGCUGGAUGAAGCAUCCCCCCCCCAUGGGGGCGGCUAUGUCUCUGGAUGGGAGCUGGGCCCUUCCUGGGGAUCACCCCAGCUGCAGUGUUCGCCUCUCUUGUUCCCCCUCCGGGGGUGCCGGGCCGGCAUUCUGCCUCGGCCGACACCUAGCAGCUGACUUGGAACUGAUGCGGCCCAGGGGAAUCUGACUGUUUAAUUAAAACAAAACAUUGCAAAGGCCCGUGGAGGGUGUUGACACAAUGUGAUUUCUGCCAAGUGCUCUGAAUGUCAAAGUGAAGAAAUUCAAUGAAGCGUGGGUAAACGGCUGGGUUAACUAUGACCUUUAAGGUAGCCAAAUGCCUCGUCAUCUAAUUAGUGAUGUGGAUGAAUGAGAUUCCCACUGUCUCUACCUACUAUCUAGCCAAACCACAGCCAAGGGAACAAGCUUGACAGACUCGGUGGGGAAAGAAGACCCGGUUGAGUUUGACUCUAGUCUGGCACUGUGAAGAGACAUGUGAGGUAGGAUAAGUGGGAGGCCCUCGGCCGCUGGUGAAAUACUACUACUCAUUGUUUUUCCACUUACCUGGUGAGGCGGGGGGCGAUCCCGUGGGGCUUUUGCUCUAGCUCCAAGCGCCCGGCACCUGCCGGGCACGACCCGCUCCAGGGGCAGGUGGGGAGUUUGACUGGGGUGGUACACCUGUCAAAGGAUAACACAGGUGUCCUAAGGCGAACUCCGGGAGGACAGAAACCGUGGAGCAGAAGGCAAAAGCUAGCUUGAUCUUGAUUUUUCAGUAUGAAUCCAGACCGUGAAAGCUGACUUUUUGGGUUUCAAGCAGGAGGUGUCGCAGAAGUUACCACAGGGAUAACUGGCUUGUGGCGGCCAAGCCUUCAUAGCAACAUUGCUUUUUGACCCUUCGAUGUCGACUCUUCCUAUCAUUGUGAAACAGAUUUCACGAAGCAUCGGAUUGUUCACCCACUAAAAGGGAACGUGAGUUGGAUUUAGACCGUCGUGAGACAGGUUAGUAUUACCCUACUGAUGAUGUGUUGAUGCAAUAGUAAUCCUGUUCAGUACGAGAGGAAUUGCAGGUUCAGACAUUUGGUGUGCAUGCUUGGCUGAGAAGCCAAUGGGGUGAAGCACCCAUCUGUGGGAUUAUGACUGAACGCAUCUAAGUCAGAAAUCCCCCCACCCUGAGACCGUGAUUACUGCAGCGCUGUCGAGCAUCGGUUGGCUUAGGAUAGCCAGCUUCAGGGGCGGUGUGUAGAGCCGCUCGCCUCUGGACUUGAGUCUGGACGGAAGGGGGCCACCUAUCUCACCCGUAGUGCAUCGCAUGUUAGUGGGGAAUCUGGUGCUAAAUCAUUCGUAGACGACCCGAUUCUGGUUCAGGGUUUCGUAAGUAGCAGAGCAGCUACCUCGCUGCGAUCUAUUGGAAGUCAUCCUCUGA